rfam:Ailuropoda melanoleuca scaffold321_45, whole genome shotgun sequence.
GCCUGGCUGGCUCAGUCUGUAGAGCAUGCAACUCUUGAUCUCAGGGUUGUGAGUUCAAGCCCCACACUGGGCA